CCUGCUUCUCGGCCUUUUGGCUAAGAUCAAGUGCAGUAUCUGUUCUUAUCAUUUUAAUAUUUUUUUUCUUUUUUUCUUUUUUUUUUUAUUUUUUGACAGACAGAGUGGACAGUGAGAGAGAGACAGAGAGAAAGGUCUUCCUUUGCCGUUGGUUCACCCUCCAAUGGCCGCCGCGGUAGGCGCGCUGCGGCCGGUGCACC